rnacentral:lncRNA from 1 species
CUCCAGUAAAUCCGAACAGUGGAUCGAUCAUGGGGAUCAACCCAUGUUCAAUUUGCAUUUUGUCGAAGGUGGAGCCGAAUAGUAUAUUCACCAAACUGCCAUUGUCGACGAGCAUGCGUUUGAGCCUGUUUCUCGCUACUACAGCUCUCAUAACUAAUGCAUCACAAUGGGGGUGGUGAACUCCUUCUGCAUCUUCCUGGGAGAAGCUGAUUGGGGCCAUCCUAUUGGCCGCUUGGGACUCAUUGACAAUGUACGUAAGUAUUGGCGGGUCCUUUGCUUCCCUUGUGUAAUUCUUUUGGGCGUUUAUGGUGUUGCCAUCGAUGUGAGGUCCCCCAAUAAUUGUGUUGAUCUCCCUGAUGACUUGGCUCCCAGAAAAUGGGGUCUAAUCUCUCUGUCUGGACUGUCCUUGGUCCCUUAAUUCUCUUCUCCGGGAUGAUUGCUCUCUAUACCCUCUCUCUCCCUUGUUCGGGGAGGCGGAUCUGUGAGGAUAUUCGCUCCUUCUAGAGGGAUGUGGGUUGCUUCGAUCCCGGCGUCGAUCAGCAUCUCAGCACUCGCUGGUGUCAUGUCCAUAGAGUUGGUGGAAAGUGCAAAACAUUGCUCUUUCCAAGGGCUUGUUUGAUCGCUUCUUCUUACUACUAUCAGUUCCUCCAGAUGGCCCUGCUCCACCAGGGAAAUUCUCGUAUGCUAACACCGGGACUGCAUUUAGCGUGGCAGAAGCCACUGCUUGUCCGGAGGUGGGAGCUACCGUAUGACCUAUUUGAGUCCAUUGCUGAUGACAAGGUGUGCUGCGAGUCCUUGACCCACCUGCCUUUGAGGCGGAGGGAGUCCCUGCGCUGCACGAUUCCUGUGAUCAAUCAUCUCUUCGUUGACGAUCUCAACUCUCAUCAUUUCUACCAGCUCGCCAUAAGUGGUGGGAUUUUUGCUGCGCACGUCCCUCCAAAACAAAGUGUUCAUGUUGAGGCUGCCUUUAAAGGCUAAAAGGGCUUCUCUGUCAGUGACCUACUCGCAAUACGUGAUUUCGUCUGUAAAUCUGGUAAGAUAGCUUUUUAGCGUCUCUCUAGGGGCCUGCCUCAUAUCUUGCAGGCGUUGCAAUGAGGCCUCUCCUUCUCUCCAUGAGAGGUACUGGUUCAAGAAUACUUUCUUUAGAUCCGGCCAACUCCUAAUGCUCAGGGGGAGGAGGGGAGUCUGUUGUACCACACUUCAGCAGCUUCACUUAAAGUUAAGUAGAAGGCUCUGCAUUUCAAAGCAGGCGAGGCUCCUCUAAGGCUCAUCUGCGUCAUAUACUUGGUGAGGUGCUUCUCCGGAUCUCCCUUUCCUUCAUACUUAGGGAUCUUAGGGGGCAUGAAAUUUGCAGGCAUUGGAAAACUUUGGAUUUUCCUUGAGAAAGGGAGGUUAUCAUCAUCAUCGUCAAUUUCAUAGGAUCGACAUGGCCCAUCUGACCCUUCAUCGUCUUGAAUGUUCUAGGGAGGGGGAGGUGCUUCUCCUCGACUUCCCCAAUCAACCAAGCCCCUUCUCUCCUUCCUAUUCCUAGGAGGAGGAGGUGCUUGUUCUUGCUCCUGCUCUUGCCGAACUGAUCUUCACACUGAGUGGACCCUAUUACUAGGGUCCUGCCCUAUGCGAUCGAAGACGCUGACUGACCUUUGUGCUUCAUAUUCCUGAGGGAAAUUGUCCCCCAAUUAUGGUUCUACUGGCUGGCUCCCUUGCACAUAGGAUGUGGCUUCAGCACCCACUUCUCUUUCAAGGGGACGCUUUCUGUGCUGGCUCACACAGCCUCGGGAACGGAAUGCCGGGGUUUCUUGAACUGGAUAUGAUCCUUGGGGCAUUUGAGAACCCUGGUGACCUCGGGCUUGGAUGAAAAGUUCAUGAAUCGCCAUAUUCUGGGUUGCGAUGUCUCUCAUGCCUGUAGCUAUUUGAGCCAUUCCUUCAGUGAGCAUAGCUGUUCUUUCACCUUGGUGACGCCGGUGAUGAGGUCUCUGGUGGGUAACAUUGUUACGGGGCACCUCUUCUUCAAAGGCCUCUCUCAUAGGGUUUUUGUCUUCAUGGUUGUAACUCAUCUUAUCCCCUUUUUCAAGGGUGACAAGAACUUGGGUUAUAACUCGACUUUGUUCUUUUUCAAGAACGUGCCCUUUUCAGGGUAAGUCAAUAGUUUUCCGUUGUUUCUCUGGUGGAGAACGUAGAACUUUGGAUGGGAAGUUUUCUACAGACGGCGCCAAUCUGUUGACCUCGCAAAUUGGACCCUCCACGUGACCAACCGAUAGCUAUUCCACGUAUUCCUCUUUGCGUACAGUCAAGACAUGGUUAGAUAGACAUGGCCAGAACCAACGAAGGUGAUGGCGGCUGCAUACAAUCCGACGGUUAAAUUAGCCUCAGGUGGUCGGAAC